UACGUAGGGAGCAAGCGUUGUCCGGAUUUACUGGGCGUAAAGGGCGUGCAGGCGGUCUGUUAAGUUCAGGGUGAAAGCUCCCGGCUCAACUGGGAGGGUGCGCCGGAAACUGGGGUGCUGGAGGGCGGGAGAGGAAAGCGGAAUUCCUGGUGUAGCGGUGAAAUGCGUAGAUAUCAGGAGGAACACCAGCGGUGUAGGCGACUUUCUGGACCGUAGCUGACGCUGAGACGCGAAAGCGUGGGUAGCAAACAGG
rnacentral:rRNA from 1 species